AGAAUCUGCCUAGAGGAUGGGGACAACCACGGGAAACUGUGGCUAAUACCCAAUGAGCGGAGACGUUAAAGAUUUAUCGCCUCUAGAGGAGCUCGCGUCUGAUUAGCUAGUUGGUGGGGUAAAAGCCUACCAAGGCGACGAUCAGUAGCUGGUCUGAGAGGACAACCAGCCACACUGGGACUGAGACACGGCCCAGACUCCUACGGGAGGCAGCAGUGGGGAAUUUUCCGCAAUGGGCGAAAGCCUGACGGAGCAAUACCGCGUGAGGGAGGAAGGCUCUUGGGUCGUAAACCUCUUUUCUCAGGGAAGAAGAAAGUGACGGUACCUGAGGAAUCAGCCUCGGCUAACUCCGUGCCAGCAGCCGCGGUAAUACGGAGGAGGCAAGCGUUAUCCGGAAUUAUUGGGCGUAAAGCGUCCGUAGGUGGCUCUUCAAGUCUGCUGUCAAAGAGUGGGGCUUAACUCCAGAAAGGCAGUGGAAACUGAAAGGCUAGAGAGCCGUAGGGGUAGAGGGAAUUCCCGGUGUAGCGGUGAAAUGCGUAGAGAUCGGGAAGAACAUCGGUGGCGAAAGCGCUCUACUGGACGGUAUCUGACACUGAGGGACGAAAGCUAGGGGAGCGAAUGGGAUUAGAUACCCCAGUAGUCCUAGCCGUAAACGAUGGAUACUAGGCG
rnacentral:rRNA from 1 species